rnacentral:rRNA from 1 species
UACGUAGGGUGCAAGUGUUAAUCGGAAUUACUGGGCGUAAAGCGUGCGCAGGCGGCUUUGCAAGACAGAUGUGAAAUCCCCGGGCUUAACCUGGGAACUGCAUUUGUGACUGCAUGGCUAGAGUGCGGCAGAGGGGGAUGGAAUUCCGCGUGUAGCAGUGAAAUGCGUAGAUAUGCGGAGGAACACCGGUGGCGAAGGCGGCUAUCUGGACAGAGUCUGACGCUGAGGCGCGAAAGCUAGGGGAGCAAACAGG